rnacentral:sRNA from 1 species
AAGCUGGUAUUUUUGCUGAGGUGAACCUUAAAUCCGCACACGUAUCGACACGGUGUCCUGGGUGCCCCUCGGGGUUGGACAUUGGGAUGCGUGGAGGCCAAACC